AUUGAACGCUGGCGGCAGGCCUAACACAUGCAAGUCGAACGAGUGGCGGACGGGUGAGUAAUGUCUGGGCAACUGCCUGAUGGAGGGGGAUAACUACUGGAAACGGUAGCUAAUACCGCCUACUAUCAGAUGUGCCCAGAUGGGAUUAGCUCGUGGGUGGGGUAACGGCUCACCUAGGCGACGAUCCCUAGCUGGUCUGAGAGGCUGACCAGCCACACGGGAACUGAGACACGGUCCAGACUCCUACGGGAGGCAGCAGUGGGGAAUAUUGCACAAUGGGCGCAAGCCUGAGACAGCCAUGCCGCGUGUAUGAAGAAGGCCUUCGGGUUGUAAAGUACUUUCAGCGGGGAGGCGUUACCCGCAGAAGAAGCACCGGCUAACUCCGUGCCAGCAGCCGCGGUAAUAC
rnacentral:rRNA from 1 species